UCUUAAGAGUAAUACUACUGUCUUAGUCCUGUCACGUUAACAAAGAAAUUAGGAUAAUUGCAAAACUGUUCAGUGUUUACAAUAUAAGGCUUCAGUAGUUAAUCUAUACAAAGGCUGUUUUGCCUUAAUUUUUUUAUUUUUUUGAAAAGUCUAAAUGUUAUAUUGCACUAAUAAAAUAUAUAUUUUUGCAGGCUUCAAGAGGAUCAGCGUGUGAAGAUCACUUUAUAAUGAUUUGAAAAAGGUUGCCAUGGCUACAGAAAUUGGAGGAGCAUCCUUAGAUGACACAAUACAACCAACUGUGCGAUUCCUCAUGUCCCAUGAACUGGAAGUCCAGUUCAACCUUUUUGGCCAACAUUGGAAACAAGCUCUUGGACCUGCGUCUCUUUGAUGUUUUGUAUGGGGACUUAAAAGAAAUUAUCCAUCUACAGAAUCACACAAGCAUACAGCAAAGACUCUCGAAGUGGUUUACUGGAGCCCGAGUGGAAGUGGAAAUAGAAUAGAGAGACUGCCAGUUCAAACUCAGGUUGGGGAGGUCUUUCAAGAUGGACAGUUUCAGUAAAGUAUGAGAGAUUUCAAAUUUAAGCAUGCAUAUGGCAUGUAGGUUAUUUUUAAAAAUGUUUAACAAAAAUGUAUUGUGAAAGAUCUAUAUAGGUGUGUAUAUUCACAUUGUGUGUAUCAAUGUGAAUAUACGUGUAUAAAGUUAUAUAGAUAGUAUUUAGAUGUAUACAUUUAUAGACCUGUAGGAAAAUAUGUAGGUGUCUUUAUUUGUGUGCAUCUAUAGAUAUAUAUUUAUAGAUCUGUUUAUAAGUUUGUUAUAGUAAACUAGCUUCUGUUAUUUUCAAAGAUGUCGUGAAUAAUUGCAGAUUUCUUUUUGUGGCACCAUUCCCUGAGUAUUAAUGAAGUUCUAAUAAUUGCUGUAGUGAGGUAAAAAAUAACUCCUGACAAUAUUUUAAAUUACUAAAUAAAAGCCUUGAGCAAAAUAAA